UACAGAGGUCUCAAGCGUUGUUCGGAUUCAUUGGGCGUAAAGGGUGCGUAGGUGGCGCCAUAAGUCAGGUGUGAAAUCUCGGGGCCCAACCCCGAAACUGCACUUGAUACUGUGGUGCUCGAGUACUGGAGAGGAGAUUGGAAUUUACGGUGUAGCAGUGAAAUGCGUAGAUAUCGUAAGGAAGACCAGUGGCGAAGGCGAAUCUCUGGACAGUUACUGACACUGAGGCACGAAGGCCAGGGGAGCAAACGGG
rnacentral:rRNA from 1 species